AAAUGGCUGGGAGGGGGAUGGGGAUGUUGAAUUUGGAAAUUGGAGGGGACGCUGGUGGACGGAUUGGGUGCAAGGAGUUGGUGUUGAUGGAGGAGCAGGACGCCAGAGUCCCAGCCCUGGAACCGUUCAGAGUGGAGCAGGCACCACCUGUAAUCUACUAUGUCCCUGACUUCAUCUCCAAAGAAGAGGAGGAGUAUUUGCUUCGACAGGUUUUUAAUGCCCCAAAGCCAAAGUGGACCCAGCUCUCUGGGAGAAAGUUACAGAACUGGGGGGGGCCCUCAGGACCCCAUUGCCUUCCCCAGGUGGGCUUCCUCAUCCCCGAGGGAUGGUUCCUGAGCGGCUGCCCCCAUGGCUCCAGCGCUACGUGGACAAAGUGUCAAACCUCAGCCUCUUUGGAGGCCUCCCAGCUAACCAUGUCCUCGUGAACCAGUAUCUGCCUGGGGAGGGCAUCAUGGUAACCACACACCCUCGGCCCGUGUCCCCCCACUCAGACUUCUGAGCUGUGCUGGGGCAGGGGACUCUGUACCCACCCUCACUCAUUAGGCAGCCACAUCUCCCAAACAGGCAUUCACCUCCCUGUCCCUGGCUUGGGAAGCCCCCCUUUGACCCAGAGGGUGGGGGUUGUGGACUCCUGCCCUGCCCAGCCCUGGUGCCCACUCCCUAGCCCCACGAGGACGGACCACUGUACUACCCGACUGUCAGCACCAUCAGCCUGGGCUCCCACACCGUGCUGGACUUCUACGAGCCGCGGCGGCCAGAGGACGAUGACCCUACAGAACAGCCUCGGCCUCCGCCCCGGCCCACCACCUCGCUACUGCUGGAACCGCGCAGCCUGCUGGUGCUCCGCGGCCCCGCCUACACGCGUCUUCUCCACGGCAUCGCCGCCGCCCGCGUAGACGCGCUGGACGCCGCCUCCUCGCCGCCCAAUGCGGCAGCCUGCCCGUCGGCGCGGCCGGGAGCCUGCCUGGUGCGCGGCACCCGGGUCUCGCUGACCAUCCGCCGCGUGCCCCGCGUGCUGCGCGCCGGCCUCCUGCUGGGCAAGUGACCGCCAGGGCCGGGACCCCUCGGAUUCCCAGGCCCCCAGCCAUGGCCCUGUCCCUGCCUCUGGGCCCUAGACUUGGCUCAGAGCC
ensembl:lncRNA novel transcript